UGCUGGAGGUAUCAGAAGUGCGAAUGCUGACAUAAGUAACGAUAAAGCGGGUGAAAAGCCCGCUCGCCGGAAGACCAAGGGUUCCUGUCCAACGUUAAUCGGGGCAGGGUGAGUCGACCCCUAAGGCGAGGCCGAAAGGCGUAGUCGAUGGGAAACGGGUUAAUAUUCCCGUACUUGGUGUUACUGCGAAGGGGGGACGGAGAAGGCUAUGUUGGCCGGGCGACGGUAGUCCCGGUUUAAGCGUGUAGGUGUGUGUUCCAGGCAAAUCCGGUUCACUUUAACACUGAGGCGUGAUGACGAGGCACCACGGUGCUGAAGCAACAAAUGCCCUGCUUCCAGGAAAAGCCUCUAAGCAUCAGGUAACAUCAAAUCGUACCCCAAACCGACACAGGUGGUCAGGUAGAGAAUACCAAGGCGCUUGAGAGAACUCGGGUGAAGGAACUAGGCAAAAUGGUGCCGUAACUUCGGGAGAAGGCACGCUGACACGUAGGUGAAGUGAUUUACUCAUGGAGCUGAAGUCAGUCGAAGAUACCAGCUGGCUGCAACUGUUUAUUAAAAACACAGCACUGUGCAAACACGAAAGUGGACGUAUACGGUGUGACGCCUGCCCGGUGCCGGAAGGUUAAUUGAUGGGGUCAGCGCAAGCGAAGCUCCUGAUCGAAGCCCCGGUAAACGGCGGCCGUAACUAUAACGGUCCUAAGGUAGCGAAAUUCCUUGUCGGGUAAGUUCCGACCUGCACGAAUGGCGUAAUGAUGGCCAGGCUGUCUCCACCCGAGACUCAGUGAAAUUGAACUCGCUGUGAAGAUGCAGUGUACCCGCGGCAAGACGGAAAGACCCCGUGAACCUUUACUAUAGCUUGACACUGAACAUUGAGCCUUGAUGUGUAGGAUAGGUGGGAGGCUUUGAAGCGUGGACGCCAGUCUGCGUGGAGCCGACCUUGAAAUACCACCCUUUAAUGUUUGAUGUUCUAACGUGGACCCGUAAUCCGGGUUGCGGACAGUGUCUGGUGGGUAGUUUGACUGGGGCGGUCUCCUCCUAAAGAGUAACGGAGGAGCACGAAGGUUGGCUAAUCCUGGUCGGACAUCAGGAGGUUAGUGCAAUGGCAUAAGCCAGCUUGACUGCGAGCGUGACGGCGCGAGCAGGUGCGAAAGCAGGUCAUAGUGAUCCGGUGGUUCUGAAUGGAAGGGCCAUCGCUCAACGGAUAAAAGGUACUCCGGGGAUAACAGGCUGAUACCGCCCAAGAGUUCAUAUCGACGGCGGUGUUUGGCACCUCGAUGUCGGCUCAUCACAUCCUGGGGCUGAAGUAGGUCCCAAGGGUAUGGCUGUUCGCCAUUUAAAGUGGUACGCGAGCUGGGUUUAGAACGUCGUGAGACAGUUCGGUCCCUAUCUGCCGUGGGCGCUGGAAGACUGAGGGGGGCUGCUCCUAGUACGAGAGGACCGGAGUGGACGCAUCACUGGUGUUCGGGUUGUCAUGCCAAUGGCACUGCCCGGUAGCUAAAUGCGGAAAAGAUAAGUGCUGAAAGCAUCUAAGCACGAAACUUGCCCCGAGAUGAGUCUUCCCUGAGACUUUGA
rnacentral:rRNA from 1 species